AAACUUACAACAUAGCCAUCAGGAGUCCAGCUCAUGACAUCCCAUUUCAUUGUAAUGUUGCCUUCUGGAUCUAGCGCAUCAUAUGCUUCUGCCAAAACGGUUUUACCAAUUAUAUAAAACAAAAGGUUAGAACUUUGUUUCUACUUCUCCAACUUUGCUAGCAUACCAAACUGUCCGCAUAACUAAAAGUAUGCAUCAAGUUCUGUACUUCUCGGAAAGUUUCUAUUUUUGGAUCUUGAAAAGCAUAGAACAUACAACAUUACUAAAAACAUAGGAAGCACUAAUAUGUAAACUGAAGUCACAGUUUUAGGAUCUGAGAUUUGCAAAAGAAUUUUGUUUCAGUAAUUGAAUAAAGAUCUAGCAUUGCCACCAAGAAGACAAUUAUGUAACAGAGUAUAAAAAAAAAAAAAGAAGCAGAUAAA